CAGUGUUUUGACAAAAUCAUUUGAACUCAAGGUCCACCUACAAGCCUUUUUUCACAGUUUUUGAUCACAUCUGGUUGUCUCCAGUUCAACUUCAAUUGAGUAAAUUCUAAAAAAGCUCUAGAAAAAUGGUUCUGGACGACAUUUUAACCCUGGUGAAAUGACAGGAGUGGUCUGUAAUAGACGUGGACAUUCAGCAUGACAAAGACAAAAAGAAAGACAAAAGCCUCGCCAAGGGACGCCGCAGAGCAGAAGGAGGGAGCCUCUUUCUUAGGACCCAAACCCACUGAACCCACUGGAGGAGGUGAGUUUACAAACAUCAUUCAGAUGGCUUAUGUCUUUAUCUCACUGUUUGUUAUUUAAAUAUAUUAAAAAAAUGUACUGAAAAAUCUGAAUAUGUGCAUUUUUUAUAUACUGCACUUUUAGAUGGCCUUGGACUUAAUUUGUCAGAUGCUCUCCGUAAACCCCCUUAUUGAGUUUUGGUUUUCUGCCCUGUAGUCUCUGC